AUCAUAUGCAGAAUUGUUGAAUUCUUAGAUAUUUGAUUUGGGUAUUAUGAUUCAUAUUCUCUAAUAGGAAGAUCUGAUGC